rnacentral:rRNA from 1 species
AGUCGAGGGGUAACAGGGAAAAGCUUGCUUUUUUGCUGACGACCGGCGCACGGGUGCGUAACGCGUAUACAAUCUACCGCUUACUGGAGGAUAGCCCAGAGAAAUCUGGAUUAAUACUCCAUAGUAUAUAGAAGAGGCAUCUUUUUUAUAUUAAAGGUUACGGUAAGUGAUGAGUAUGCGUCCUAUUAGCUAGUUGGUAUGGUAACGGCAUACCAAGGCGACGAUAGGUAGGGGCCCUGAGAGGGGGAUCCCCCACACUGGUACUGAGACACGGACCAGACUCCUACGGGAGGCAGCAGUGAGGAAUAUUGGACAAUGGGCGGAAGCCUGAUCCAGCCAUGCCGCGUGCAGGAAGACUGCCCUAUGGGUUGUAAACUGCUUUUAUACAGGAAGAAACCUUUCCACGUGUGGGGAGCUGACGGUACUGUAAGAAUAAGCAUCGGCUAACUCCGUGCCAGCAGCCGCGGUAAUACGGAGGAUGCAAGCGUUAUCCGGAAUCAUUGGGUUUAAAGGGUCCGUAGGUGGACAGAUAAGUCAGAGGUGAAAUCCUACAGCUCAACUGUAGAAUUGCCUUUGAUACUGUUUGUCUUGAGUCAUUAUGAAGUGGUUGGAAU